rnacentral:snoRNA from 1 species
CCGAUACAUAUUAUUUAUGCAUUCUAUUCACUGUGCCAUCUUUAAUCUUGAUAGAUGAUCAGAGGGGAAAAGAAUAGCUAGAGAAAAUUAUAGCAUGAGCGUCCUCAUACUGUCUAAAGUAAUAUACUUCAUUUUGGCUUUAGUCGGUAACUGCGCAAGUGAUACAUAC